rnacentral:rRNA from 1 species
GAUGAACGCUGGCGGCGUGCCUAAUACAUGCAAGUCGAGCGAACGGACGAGAAGCUUGCUUCUCUGAUGUUAGCGCCGGACGGGUGAGUAACACGUGGAUAACCUACCUAUAAGACUGGGAUAACUUCGGGAAACCGGAGCUAAUACCGGAUAAUAUUUUGAACCGCAUGGUUCAAAAGUGAAAGACGGUCUUGCUGUCACUUAUAGAUGGAUCCGCGCUGCAUUAGCUAGUUGGUAAGGUAACGGCUUACCAAGGCAACGAUGCAUAGCCGACCUGAGAGGGUGAUCGGCCACACUGGAACUGAGACACGGUCCAGACUCCUACGGGAGGCAGCAGUAGGGAAUCUUCCGCAAUGGGCGAAAGCCUGACGGAGCAACGCCGCGUGAGUGAUGAAGGUCUUCGGAUCGUAAAACUCUGUUAUUAGGGAAGAACAUAUGUGUAAGUAGCUGUGCACAUCUUGACGGUACCUAAUCAGAAAGCCACGGCUAACUACGUG